rnacentral:lncRNA from 1 species
AUACCUGCACCCUGGGAGGAAUUCACAGUGGUGGAUCUUGGGCUUGGGUCUCCCUCACGGACCCCUCUCCAGUGACUCUACACACGGCUGUUAUUAAAUAAGAGACUGAUUUACCUGGCAAGGCAGGAACCUGAAGCUCUCUUCCUCGAAGGGCUGAUCAGAUACCGUGGGAAUCCUAGAUACACAAAUAGGCAGCCCGACUGCCCAUCACGUCUUCUCACUUGAGCGAGAAAUAAUGGAGAGAACACCUACUCUGUGCCAGCCUCUGUGCCAAAUAAUGGCCAAAAAGAGACAACCGAAAGAGCAGAGAAAUUGCACCUUUUGGAAGGGUAAGGACUUGAGGACCCCAGCGUCACCACUUUCACAGCUCAAAGAGCCUCCGCAAACUCCAGCAUCCACUCACAGCAUCCUCCCUGGCCACACACGCCCCUCAGCGAGUCCUGCAACCACUAAGACUGGUCUUCCACUCCGCCGCCACCAGAUGGCAGCACAAAGCCCACUGACUGCUGGGCCUAAGACCAAAUGGCAACACAAGCAUCUUCCUCUGCACAGUUCCUCAGCUUCUCUGUAGAGAUAAAUGAAACCUACAGACAUCAGGCAUAAUAAAUUGAACCAGCAAUACCUGGCA